AGAGUUUGAUCAUGGCUCAGAUUGAACGCUGGCGGCAUGCCUUACACAUGCAAGUCGAACGGCAGCAUAGGAGCUUGCUCCUGAUGGCGAGUGGCGAACGGGUGAGUAAUAUAUCGGAACGUGCCCUAGAGUGGGGGAUAACUAGUCGAAAGACUAGCUAAUACCGCAUACGAUCUACGGAUGAAAGUGGGGGAUCGCAAGACCUCAUACUCCUGGAGCGGCCGAUAUCUGAUUAGCUAGUUGGUGGGGUAAAAGCCUACCAAGGCAACGAUCAGUAGCUGGUCUGAGAGGACGACCAGCCACACUGGGACUGAGACACGGCCUAGACUCCUACGGGAGGCAGCAGUGGGGAAUUUUGGACAAUGGGGGCAACCCUGAUCCAGCAAUGCCGCGUGAGUGAAGAAGGCCUUCGGGUUGUAAAGCUCUUUUGUCAGGGAAGAAACGGUAGUAGCGAAUAACUAUUACUAAUGACGGUACCUGAAGAAUAAGCACCGGCUAACUACGUGCCAGCAGCCGCGGUAAU
rnacentral:rRNA from 1 species